CAACAUCUGAACACACCAGUUGUGCCUCCUAAACACCUUCCAGACCAGCGUGCCCAGCACAGGAGCUCCGUGACAGAAGAAGCAAUAGAUUGGGCUCAGCUCCCGAGAGCUCCUGCUAUUUGUUUUCCAGAAGUCCUGCAAGGCACAAACUUCAGCUAUUCCGAAGGUGCGAGCAUUCCCAGAUGAUUUUCACCCUGGGGAAAAGGCAGAAUCCCCCACCCCAGGCGGGCACAGCGGGAGCAGCCAUCCUCCCCCAGCAAGAGGGCUGAGCGCCUCUGGAAACUCAUCUCAAAGCCUCAACACAUUGCACAGCCCUCCCAGUUAACAGCAAGGAACCUUAAGUCACGAGAACAUAAGUAAGGCAUGAGGUGUCAGCUGGGUGGCACGGGGAACAGCUUUGGGUGAAGUAGGAUCUCUCUAGAGGCUCCCGUGGCUUCGCCUGAAAUACACCCAACGUCACUGCAGGAUGUACCCACAGACCUUGCAGGCUGCCGAAUUGCAUCUGCUACAAAAAGCCCCAGCUCCUGAGCCUGGCUCCAGCCCUGCACGCUGCUGAAGGCACUGGGGCUGUGCUGAGGUCUGAGCUGCGUCAGGACCAGGACUGGAGGAGCACGGAGCACCGUGCAGGGUCUUCACCAGGCAGGGAUUUUCUACCUGCACCCUCAGGCAUCCAUGCUCUGCCUCCCAUAACACAUUUCUGCACAGAAAGGGAACGAGCCGCCUGAAAGCACCAGAUGUGCACCGUACUCACGUUCAUCUUCCAGAGCAGCUCUCCUCUUUCAAGCCAUUUUGUGAGAAAGCCCAGUCGCUCAUCGCCGCCUAAGGCAUUGCUGCCUGCGUGCCCUGCAAGGACCCGGGCUCCAGAGCAGCCCUUAAUCCAUCCAGCACCAAAGGUCCGGGCUCAGCCCUGCAGCUCAGGGAUGCCCGGUGCCACCAACUCGCUCUCCUCGGCUCCAGCCCGCGAUGGAUGGAGGUCCCCAGGCAGUGCCGAGCUCUCCAAAGCCGUCCCUUUUACGUUCUCCGACCUUGCGAGGAAAAUCCUGUCUCGUUUGAAUUAUUCAUCAUACUUUCUGUUCUGCCAGCUCCAGCACAACGUUCUGAAUCAUUAAUAUGUCAUGACUUUUUAUCUCCUUUUUUUUUUUUUUUUUUUUUUUUGACUUUUAUCUUCUCUCCGACACGACUCCCUUCUUUAAAAAUAACACAA